UACGAAGGGGGCUAGCGUUGCUCGGAAUUACUGGGCGUAAAGGGCGCGUAGGCGGACAGUUUAGUCAGAGGUGAAAGCCCAGGGCUCAACCUUGGAAUUGCCUUUGAUACUGGCUGUCUUGAGUUCGGGAGAGGUGAGUGGAAUGCCGAGUGUAGAGGUGAAAUUCGUAGAUAUUCGGCGGAACACCAGUGGCGAAGGCGACUCACUGGCCCGAUACUGACGCUGAGGCGCGAAAGCGUGGGGAGCAAACAGGG
rnacentral:rRNA from 1 species